UGGGGAAUCUUGCACAAUGGGCGAAAGCCUGAUGCAGCCAUGCCGCGUGAAUGAUGAAGGCCUUAGGGUUGUAAAAUUCUUUCGCCAGGGAUGAUAAUGACAGUACCUGGUAAAGAAGCCCCGGCUAACUUCGUGCCAGCAGCCGCGGUAAUACGAAGGGGGCUAGCGUUGUUCGGAAUUACUGGGCGUAAAGCGCGCGUAGGCGGGUUUUUAAGCCAGAUGUGAAAUCCCCUGGCUCAACCAGGGAAGUGCAGUCGAUACUGGCGGGCUCGAGUCCCGGAGAGGGUGGUAGAAUUCCCAGUGUAGAGGUGAAAUUCGUAGAUAUUGGGAGGAAUACCGGUGGCGAAGGCGACCGCCUGGACGGGUACUGACACUGAGGCGCGAAAGCGUGGGGAGCAAACAGGAUUAGAUAC
rnacentral:rRNA from 1 species